CCCACUUUCCUUCUCUCUCUCUUCUCAUUUGGACUCUUUCUUAUCUCUCCUCAACCUGCCACCGCACUAACACCUUUUAUCCUCUCUCUCUCUCUCUCUCUCUCUCUCUCUCUCCACUAUAUUGGAUCAAGCACAACCAAGCACACAUGAACAUGAUGAACACCAUGAAGGUGUUCAUCAAUUGAUCCUAGUUUUUCAACAAAAAGCCCCCAAUCCAAAAAAUAAUCUACAUAAACCUACCUUAAAACAAGCCCCUAACCAUGAAUCCAACAACAAAAUCACAAAAACCCAAAACAAAUUCACAAAUUGAACGUUACAGUUCAAAAACCUUAAGUCCGAAAUUAAAUAUCAUAACCUAAUGCAAUUAUCAAUUAUCAAGGGGAAACGAUCAUUCAGACAUACAUAAACAUUCUACGAGCAUGAAAUUAGAAGAAAAGCUAAGAAUAGAGCCUCGUUGGAGCUUAAAACUCAGGAGAGAACUCUGGAAACCAACCUCAAGGUGUGUAUGCUUAUGAAGAUGAAUGAUUAAUGGCAUGGUUGAAGGCAAAGCAUGAAGUGAUGAAAGGGGAUCAUGUUGAGGUGUUGAAGAAGAAGACAUGGGAUGAUGAUGAUGAGGGCAAGUUUGAAAACUUGUAUGGGCCAAAACAAGCUUGAAACUUUUCUUUUUUUAUUUUAACUUUUGUAUUCUCUUUUAUAUUUGUAAUAAUGGUCCAAUGUAUGUAUUACCUACUAUUUAAAAGUGUAAUGAAAAAUGCCCUAUUUGUACACUCAAAAUCAACUUGAA